rnacentral:rRNA from 1 species
AUUGAACGCUGGCGGCAGGCCUAACACAUGCAAGUCGAACGAGUGGCGGACGGGUGAGUAAUGCCUGGGAAACUGCCUGUUGGAGGGGGAUAACUACUGGAAACGGUAGCUAAUACCGCCUACCAUCCGAUGUGCCCAGAUGGGAUUAGCUAGUUGGUGGGGUAACGGCUCACCAAGGCGACGAUCCCUCGCUGGUCGGAGAGGAUGACCAGCCACACUGGAACCGAAACACGGUCCCGGAUCCUGCGGGAGGCAACAGUGGGUAAUUUUGCACAAUGGGGGCAAGCCGUAUGCGACCAGGCCGGGUGUAUUAAAAAGGGCUUCGGGUUUUAAAGUAAUUUCAGCGGGGAGGCGUUACCCGCAGAAGAAGCAACGGCUAACUCCGUGCCAGCAGCCGCGGUAAUAC